CCAAUAGCGUAUAUUAAAGUUGUUGCAGUUAAAAAGCUCGUAGUUGAACUUCGGGGUUUACUCAUUGGUCAGGCUUAAUUGUCUGUACUGGUGAGCUGAAUCUCUACCUUCUGAGGAACUUUCAUGCCAUUUAUUUGGUGUGAUGGGAAAUCAGGACUGUUACUUUGAAAAAAUUAGAGUGUUUAAAGCAGGCUAACGUCUGAAUACAUUAGCAUGGAAUAAUGAAAUAGGACGGAUUGAUUCUAUUUCGUUGGUUUCUAGGAUCACCGUAAUGAUUAAUAGGGAUAGUUGGGGGCAUUAGUAUUCAAUUGUCAGAGGUGAAAUUCUCGGAUUUAUUGAAGACUAACUACUGCGAAAGCAUUUGCCAAGGAUGUUUUCAUUAAUCAAGAACGAAAGUUAGGGGAUCGAAGACGAUCAGAUACCGUCGUAGUCUUAACCAUAAACUAUGCCGACUAGGGAUCGGACGAAGUUAAUUUUAUAAUGACGCGUUCGGCACCUUACG
rnacentral:rRNA from 1 species